CUCCCACGUGAUACUGGUUCUGAAAGCAUGAAGGGAUGGAUCCUAGGGAGCAGCUGAGUCUCGGCACUAUGUGGCAGGGUUUGUCUCUGUGGGGAGAGGCCACUGACGAAAGUGCAGCCUCAACUGCAUUGGAAACCCCAAGAUUUAAGGGGUCAUGGAGAGGAACUGAGGCGUGGUACCAUGAGGGGGGUCAGGGUUCCGAAGGAGCCGCCAGGAGGCCAUUGGUGAAGGUGUAGCCUCCGUUGCAGUGGAGACCUGAGGAGAUGCAAGGGCCACAGGACAUCCCCAAGGCCAGCAGCAGACAGAGUGGAGCCGCCUGAGACUCCAAGACAAGCUAUGUGUGCUAUGGACAGCAGAGCUGGAAAGGUGAAGCUGCCCAGGAGCCCUGACGGUCCUGAGUGAAGUCCAACGCUGGGAAUUGUGGGACUUGACUUACACAGCUGGAUGAUGGGUUUGCUUUGAUCUAAUGGCAACUAUGUUCUGGUUCUUCCCUUUCGGAAUGAGAAAGUGAACGAGCCAGAUGGCAAGCCCGAUCCACCUGAGCAAGGCCGAUCACCCUGCCACCUCCCAACCCAUCUGAGCAAGGCCGAUCACCCUGCCACCUCCCAACCCAUCUGAGUCAGGCCGAUCACCCUGCCACCUCCCAAUCCACCUGAGCCAGGCCGAUCACCCUGCCACCUCCCAACCCAUCUGAGCAAGGCCGAUCACCCUGCCACCUCCCAACCCAUCUGAGCAAGGCCGAUCACCCUGCCACCUCCCGAUCCACCUGAGCAAGGCCGAUCACCCUGCCACCUCCCAAUCCAUCUGAAACCUGCUCCAGACUAAGCCAGGAAGAUGAUCCAGGCCACCCAGGAACCACACUGGCUGGGACUUUGUUCUCACUCGUGAGAAUGACAGUGUUUAAAGCCUCUGCAGGAGGUGAGAGGGCCAGGCCAGUAUCAUGACAGCUUUGUAACUCAGUAAGAACUGGGCCUCGGUCCCUGCUUUUUGGAACUGAGCAGGCAAUUUCUGAGGAGGAGCCACAAACAAAGGACAACCCUAAACUCCAACACCCCCAACAGCAAGGACCAGGAGGCCUGUUACAGCCUGAGCCAUAAACAGCUCAAGGUGAUAACCAAAUCAGGACGAAGCCUGGGACUUGUUCAGGCCUGCCAAAAAAUGGAAACCUGUAUCCCUCCCCAGCCCCUGACUAGCCCUGGCCAAUUAGAAUGCACUAAUAUGAUUGCCACUUACUUGAGCCAAUCAUAUCUAAAAUGACCUAACUGCCUUAGGACCUCCCCUUGGCUAUGCUCAAAAGGAGCCCACACAUCCCCCUCAGGGUCAUGGCCAUUUUGCCUUUGUGUGGGAUGGAUGGCCCUAGCAUGCUGGAAGCUUUCUGCAGAUAAUAAAUGCUCUUGUUGAUUGCA